CUCCCUCCGGGAAAGAUGAGGGUGCCUGCAGAGCUGGACCUGGAAAGAGGGCGGUGGGCAGAUGAAAUCUGAGCCUCAGAGCGUGAAGGAAUGGGAGCGAAAGUGAAGCCGAGUUGUUACCCAAGAACAACAAAGAAAAAAAAGGAAUUCAGGUUUUGACAUUCAAAACAGGAUCUUUGUAACAGCUUUAUUGAGAUGUGAUUCACAUACCCUAUAAUGUACCCAUUAAAGUGUACAAUUCAA